rnacentral:lncRNA from 1 species
CGAAUAUCUUCAUCCUCCCUUCGGCCUUCCACUGCUCUUACAGUGCCAACUAUAAUUAAGCACUGCUACUUCCACCUUGAUUUCCAUGAGCCCAGUAAGGUUUAGCAGGGGUGCGUCGCAAUGCCCUCACUCCCAAUGGGUUGUCCUUGCUCUGUUGCAGAAAAUUCAAGAAAGCACAUAAGAAAAAUAAAAAAAUAAUCAAAAAGAGAAAACCAGGACUGCUAAAUUUAAACUUGAAAGCUCAAAAGAAAAACAUCAAACGAUUUCUUAAUAAUAUCAUGCAAUGCAACCAAAUAGCUUGAAUUUAAAACAUGAAUAUCGAAAUAUUUGCCCAUUGGUCUUUGGCACACUGCUGCAAAGCCUAGAACAGCCCAGCGUACCAGCAAAAUUUAGCAUAUCUUACCAUCAAGCAGGUCCCAGCACGAACAUUACAGAUGGGAUAGUCAUGUGGGCAGCAGCUAUAGUGGUCAUCACAGCAGGUGGCAGCCUCAAGCGGGCAGCAUCCCCAUGCAAAGCAAGAGUUACCAUACUCAAAGACACAGCAGCAAGUGUUGCUCUCAGGGCAAGAGUAAUAAUUGUCACACACAGCAGGAGGCUUUGUUGGAGAUGGAGGAGACGGUCCGGGGUUGGGAGGAUUUUGGCCUUUCUUUAUGGGAUAUGAGGCCUCCAUGGCAAUUCCACACUUGCCCGUGAGAGUGCCAGCCACGUUACGCUCCAUCCUAAUAUAGCCACCCUCUCCCCAGCUACUGCCCCAUGAAUUCUUCACAAUCCAGUAAUCAGCUCCAUUUUCUGUGCCAUAUCCAACAGCAGUAACACCAUGGUCCAGAGAUGUCCCACAUCUUCCCGUAAAUAUACCCUGAAAAUUUGCAAAGACAGAAAAAUAUACUUGAGACUUCCUUAAAACAGAUCAGACACACACAAGACUCUUCCUGAUCCUGUUUAGAAACCAUUAGAAAUACAAUAAUUUUUGUUCAAAUACCAUCCAGUAUUGUCUCAACCAUAUCUUUUCAGAACUGCAAAAUGCAAAUACUUUGUAUCUAGAUAAUAGCAACAUCCCUAAAUCUAAAAUGUGACAAGUGCCAUGAAGAGAUGAAAGUUACCGAUUCAUAUAACUGGAAUGCCAUGCCACCUCCUUCAAUCGCAACACUCACGGGUUGAUUUGCAACUGCCUUUUGCAAAGCUUUCUCGUCAUUUAGGGGAAC